CUCGACAAAGCUAAACCCUUCGUGAGACGGGGGCGGAAAGCGGCGGGUCUUGGACGUAAAGAUGGCCGAGCUGCCGAAG
rnacentral:ncRNA from 1 species